ACGGCUACCAACAAUGGCUUCAGCAGGAAGGUAUUGAUGGUGUUGGGACCACGCCAUCCACAGAACAACAGAGCACUAAUACAGAGAGCAGAACUCCAGUCCUAUUCAUUCUGAUACCGAUCGUCCAGCCUUAGAGGGGACAGCCCUCCUAGUCAUUCUGAUACCGAUCGUUCAGCCUUGGAGAGGACAGCCCUCCUAGUCAUUCUGAUACCGAUCGUUCAGCCUUGACGAGGACAGCCCUCCUAGUCAUUCUGAUACCGAUCGUUCAGCCUUGGAGAGGACAGCCCUCCUAGUCAUUCUGAUACCGAUCGUUCAGCCUUGGAGAGGACAGCCCUCCUAGUCAUUCUGAUACCGAUCGUUCAGCCUUGACGACGACAGCCCUAGUCAUUNNNNNNNNNNCUCCCGGGUGAUUGGAGGGGGAGCGUCUGUCGUUCUCCCGGGUGAUUGGAGGGGGAGCGUCUGUUGUUCUCCCGGGUGAUUGGAGGGGAGCGCCUGUUGUACUCCCGGGUGAUUGGAGGGGAGCGCCUGUUGUACUCCCGGGUGAUUGGAGAGGAGCGCCUGUUGUUCUCUUUAUGUUCAUCCUAGCUUUGUUUUCCCUGUUUAUCUUCUUUUGAAAAAAAGGUUUCUCCCUGUCCUUUACUUUUCAUUUUAUCUUAAGUUCAUGACGUCUUCUGUAGUUUUCAUCCCCUCCCACCCCUGGUUCAGAUCCCGUCAGGCGGAGACAGAGAGGGACCAGGCAGGGGAGGAUAAUAGAAUGUUCAAACAGGAGUUUGGAGAGAAGAUAGACGCUCUACAGCUGGAGGUGGAACAUCUCAGGAAACACAGGUCAUGUUUGGAGCUGGAGCUGAGGAAAGGGAGGGGUAGUGGUGGAGGUAGCCAGUAUAUAGAGCCUGUGUCUGGGGAGAAGUUGACCUCGGCCCCCCAGAGAGACCUGGAAGACAUCCGGAAGGAACUGGAGGCAGUGAAGAAGGAGAAUCAUCAACUAUGUGCUGUGGUAGAUGACACGAGCGGUCCAGGGUCCAACAUGUCAAUGUCACAAAAUGAGGAUGAGCAGGGAGGAGGAGCCAAAGAUGGAGAGAAGAAGAAGAAGAAGGCUGCAGCGGGAGACGCUGGUGGGAAGACGGAGCUGUCCCCUCCUCCCGGGUACAUGGAGGAGCGUCUGUCCCUGUACACUAAACUGAAGGAGGAGCAUGAUGCUCUGAUGGCAGAGAGGGCAGAGAAGGACAGUAAAUCCAUCAAGGUGACUCUGCCAGAUGGGAAGGUGGUGGAGGCUGAGUCCUGGAAGACCACACCCUACCAGGUGGCUGCUGGCAUCAGUCAGGGUCUAGCUGACGCCACAGUGAUAGCUAAGGUGAACAACUCUGUGUGGGACCUGGACCGACCUCUAGAGGAAAACUGCAGUCUGCAGCUGCUCAAGUUUGAUGACGACGAGGCUAAAGCUGUGUACUGGCACUCCAGUGCCCACAUAAUGGGUGAGGCAAUGGAGAGGGUCUACGGAGGCUGCUUGUGUUACGGUCCGCCCAUCGAGAACGGCUUCUACUACGACAUGUUCCUGGACCAAGAGGGGGUGUCCAGUAAUGACUUCCCCUGCUUGGAGAACUUGUGUAAGAAGAUCAUCAAGGAGAAGCAGCCCUUCGAGAGGCUGGAGAUCAAGAAGGAGACUCUCCUGGAGAUGUUCAAGUACAACAAAUUUAAGUGCCGGAUCUUGAAUGAGAAGGUGACCACCCCAACCACUACUGUGUACAGGUGUGGUCCGCUGAUUGACCUGUGCCGAGGACCCCAUGUCCGACACACUGGAAAGAUCAAGGCCCUGAAGAUCCACAAGAACUCCUCUACCUACUGGGAGGGCAAGGCUGACAUGGAGACUCUUCAGAGGAUCUACGGCAUCUCCUUCCCUGAUCCUAAGAUGCUAAAGGAGUGGGAACGCUUCCAGGAGGAGGCCAAGAACAGGGACCACCGCAAACUGGGACGGGUACGGGACUGUUAUUCAAAUCACUCAAAUGGUAUUUGUCAAAUGCUUCUUAAACAACAGGUCGAAAGUGAACGAGAGAUAUUUGCAAAUGAACAAAGUUGUGGUGGAUGCUUUUCUGAAGGAAGAGCAGCAUGUGUACACGGAGCAGAGGGGGGAAGAACGGAGGAGGAAGAGCAGCAUGUGAAAAUUGUGUGGUGUUGUCUUUUCCUCAACCUCCAGAUUGAGGAGGAGAUUAAGGGUUGUCUGGACUUCCUGCGUACAGUCUACGACUGUUUUGGUUUCUCCUUCAAACUCAACCUGUCCACCCGGCCUGAGAAGUUCCUGGGAGAGCCUGCGGUCUGGGAUCAGGCUGAGAAGCAACUGGAGAACAGUCUGAAUGAGUUUGGCGAGAAGUGGGUCCUCAACCCUGGAGACGGGGCCUUCUACGGACCGAAGAUUGACAUCCAGAUCAAGGAUGCUAUUGGUCGAUACCACCAGUGUGCCACCAUCCAGCUGGACUUCCAGCUACCAAUCCGCUUCAACCUCACCUUUGUCAGCCAUGAUGGAGACGAUAAGCAGAGGCCAGUCAUCAUCCACAGAGCCAUCCUGGGAUCAGUAGAGAGGAUGAUCGCUAUCCUCACUGAGAACUACGGAGGGAAAUGGCCGCUGUGGCUGUCUCCUCGUCAGGUGAUGGUGGUACCUGUAGGACCCACACUGGAUGACUAUAAGAACACAUUUAUUAUGAAAUUUACAGGCAAAUCAUUACGGAAUCAUAGUCUCUCAGCCUGUCUUUGGUUUGUGGGAGAGAAGGAGAAGACCAGCGAGACGGUGAACGUGCGUACUCGUGACAACAAGGUGCACGGAGAACGCAGCGUCAAUGAGUGUAUGGAGCGUCUCAAACAGCUGAAGGCCUCACGCAGCCGCAACGCGGAGGAGGAAUUCUGA
rnacentral:lncRNA from 13 species